GAUGAAGAACGUAGCGAAAUGCGAUAAGUAGUGUGAAUUGCAGAAUUCAGUGAAUCAUCGAAUCUUUGAACGCACAUUGCGCCUCCUGGUAUUCCGGGAGGCAUGCCUGUUUGAGCGUCAUUAAAAUCACUCAAGCUUAGGUUUACCUAUUGCUUGGUCUUGGAGAUGGAAGCCAAUUUAUUGGAAUCCUCUUCGAAAUUCAAUGGCGAAGACCCUUGCUCUCCCAAGUGUAGUAAUAACUUAUGUCACUGAAGGAAGCGAGAAAUCUUCUGCCGUAACCCCCAUAUUUUCUAUGAUUGACCUCGGAUCAGGUAGGGAUACCCGCUGAACUUAAGCAUAUCAUAGCGGAGGA
rnacentral:misc_RNA from 1 species